UGUGGUUUUGGUUUGGGGACAGGCUUUCUUGGUAGGCAAGCGUGUGGAGUGACGCACAGUGGAAGCCUUCGCGAGGUGAUGGUUUAUCCUCGUUUAACCGUGUAGCUUACUGCUUAGGUAAAUCCGGGUGGUUUUAUGUGAGGCGGGAUGAUGACCACUUUUUGGGUGGGAAGUAGGGGUGAUCCUGUGGUGCCGAGAAAAGCUUCGACGCGAGGUUGUUAGCCGCCCGUACCCUAAACCGACACAGGUGGUCGGGCAGAGUAUGCCUAGGCGCACGAGAUAAUCAUGGUUAAGGAACUCGGCAAAAUGCCCCCGUAACUUCGGGAGAAGGGGGGCCUGAUACUUGAUGAAACCAUUUUUGGCUUUCUAGGGUUGAGGGUCGCAGAGACCAGGGAGAAGCGACUGUUUACUAAAAACACAGGUGCGUGCGAAGCCGUAAGGCGAU
rnacentral:rRNA from 1 species